rnacentral:snRNA from 1 species
GUGCUUGCUUCAGCAGCGCAUAUACUAAAAUUGGAAUGAUACAGAGAAGAUUAACAUGGCCCCUGCACAAGGAUGACAUGCAAAUUCGUGAAGCGUUCCAUAUGUUU